UUAAUGAUACUAGUACUGUACCCCAUGUUAAUUUGUGUAGACUCAUUUUGAAUAUAUAUUAAUAUAAUGAGUAAUAAAAAACGUAAAUGUGGAAAAUAUAAGUUCAUUUUUCCGAAUAGUCUAAGUGUGUAAAGCUGUAGGUGACCAAAAAUAUUGAAUACAAAAGGAGUGUUAUAAAUACAAAUGUUAAUUAGAGAAAACUGAUUGAGAAUGUGAAAUAAAUGUGCAUUUAUAAACAUUACCAAAAGUAAUAAAUAAAAUGA
rnacentral:lncRNA from 1 species